CUACGGGAUGCUGCAGUGAGGAAUAUUGCACAAUGGGGGGAACCCUGAUGCAGCAACGCCGCGUGGAGGAUGACGCAUUUCGGUGUGUAAACUCCUUUUAUAUGUCAAGAAAAUGACGGUAGCAUAUGAAUAAGCACCGGCUAACUCCGUGCCAGCAGCCGCGGUAAUACGGAGGGUGCAAGCGUUACUCGGAAUCACUGGGCGUAAAGGACGCGUAGGCGGGUUGGAAAGUCAGGUGUGAAAUCCUACAGCUUAACUGUAGAACUGCACUUGAAACUUCUAAUCUAGAGUAUGGGAGGGGGAGAUGGAAUUAGUGGUGUAGGGGUAAGAUCCGUAGAUAUCACUAGGAAUACCUAAAGCGAAGGCGAUCUCCUGGAACAUUACUGACGCUAAGGCGUGAAAGCGUGGGGAGCAAACAGGAUUAAAUACCCUCGUAGUC
rnacentral:rRNA from 1 species